UAAUCUAUUUACGGUAAAUUUUUAUAUAAUUAUAAUAGAUCCACACCUGACUAUGCAAACCUGACUACAUAGAGUGUUACACUUGGCAUAUACGAUGCCGUUCAGUCAUUGGACCUAAAUGAGGAAUUAUGCCAACCAAUCAUUCAAGAGUUCUUGAUUAGAAG
rfam:Populus trichocarpa isolate Nisqually-1 chromosome 19, whole genome shotgun sequence.